UGGGGAAUAUUGGACACUGGGCGAAAGCCUGAUCCAGCCAUGCCGCGUGUGUGAAGAAGGUCUUCGGAUUGUAAAGCACUUUAAGUUGGGAGGAAGGGCAGUAAGCGAAUACCUUGCUGUUUUGACGUUACCGACAGAAUAAGCACCGGCUAACUCUGUGCCAGCAGCCGCGGUAAUACAGAGGGUGCAAGCGUUAAUCGGAAUUACUGGGCGUAAAGCGCGCGUAGGUGGUUCGUUAAGUUGAAUGUGAAAGCCCCGGGCUCAACCUGGGAACUGCAUCCAAAACUGGCGAGCUGGAGUAGGGCAGAGGGUGGUGGAAUUUCCUGUGUAGCGGUGAAAUGCGUAGAUAUAGGAAGGAACACCAGUGGCGAAGGCGACCACCUGGGCUCAUACUGACACUGAGGUGCGAAAGCGUGGGGAGCAAACAGG
rnacentral:rRNA from 1 species